rnacentral:rRNA from 1 species
UACAGAGGGUGCAAGCGUUAAUCGGAAUUACUGGGCGUAAAGCGCGCGUAGGCGGUUAUUUAAGUCGGGUGUGAAAGCCCCGGGCUCAACCUGGGAAUUGCAUCCGAUACUGAGUAACUAGAGUAUGAGAGAGGGAGGUAGAAUUCCACGUGUAGCGGUGAAAUGCGUAGAUAUGUGGAGGAAUACCGGUGGCGAAGGCGGCCUCCUGGCUUAAUACUGACGCUGAGGUGCGAAAGCGUGGGGAUCAAACAGG